rnacentral:rRNA from 1 species
UACGUAGGGUGCGAGCGUUAAUCGGAAUUACUGGGCGUAAAGCGUGCGCAGGCGGCUUUGCAGGACAGAUGUGAAAUCCCCGGGCUUAACCUGGGAACUGCAUUUGUGACUGCAUGGCUGGAGUGCGGCAGAGGGGGAUGGAAUUCCGCGUGUAGCAGUGAAAUGCGUAGAUAUGCGGAGGAACACCGAUGGCGAAGGCAAUCCCCUGGGCCUGCACUGACGCUCAUGCACGAAAGCGUGGGGAGCAAACAGG